rnacentral:misc_RNA from 1 species
CAAUAAGAGUGUUUAUGGCACUCUUCAAAAAAUCCAUACCCACCUUGUGUGCAACGUAAGAAGAAAAAAAGAGAUGCGAGUCAUGGGGAAACCCAAGUCUCGCUCCCUUUCUUUUUUCUUUUCCACAUACACCUUUCUAUUAGUUCCUAUUGUCUGAAGCUGUUAGAGAAUGACUAAUUCUUAAACA